CGAAGAAACUCUGGUCACAAGGGUUAAGUUGGCUCUGUCUUAGCCACACUAGCCACACCCUCAGCAUGGCCCUGUGAGAGUGCAUGAAACUAUAUAUGUGUGACUCAGAAUUUAGGAAACUGUCAGAUUCCGAAUGAAACUGCUCAUAAUAGGGAGGAGGAGAAGAAUCUUCCAAUCACCGGCCGCAAUUAGGGCUCCUCCACCACUCACCCCGCUUCCCCAUGAAUGAACAUUGACGUCAAUCGGGCGGAGAAGACCCCCCCAUGUGAUCUACUGGCUCCUCUUUAUAAAGAGGCGGGGCGGGCGCUGUCCAGCGUGCUGAAGCUUGGGGAAGCAAGCUAGCGGGAGAGACGGAGAAUCGACCACGCGAAGAGAGACCAGCUGGAAACUGACCGAGGCGACAGUCGAACGCAGCUCAGGGACCGAAACUCGGAGCAUCUCCUACCUCAAAAUCCCGACCCUUCCCAUUCCUCGAAUCCUAGCUGAGUGGAAAUCAUUCUUUCCCCAGUU
rnacentral:lncRNA from 1 species